rnacentral:rRNA from 1 species
GAUGAACGCUGGCGGCGUGCCUAAUACAUGCAAGUCGAGCGAACAGACGAGGAGCUUGCUCCUUUGACGUUAGCGGCGGACGGGUGAGUAACACGUGGGUAACCUACCUAUAAGACUGGGAUAACUUCGGGAAACCGGAGCUAAUACCGGAUAAUAUUUUGAACCGCAUGGUUCAAUAGUGAAAGAUGGCUUUGCUAUCACUUAUAGAUGGACCUGCGCCGUAUUAGCUAGUUGGUAAGGUAACGGCUUACCAAGGCAACGAUACGUAGCCGACCUGAGAGGGUGAUCGGCCACACUGGAACUGAGACACGGUCCAGACUCCUACGGGAGGCAGCAGUAGGGAAUCUUCCGCAAUGGGCGAAAGCCUGACGGAGCAACGCCGCGUGAGUGAUGAAGGUCUUCGGAUCGUAAAACUCUGUUAUUAGGGAAGAACAAACGUGUAAGUAACUGUGCACGUCUUGACGGUACCUAAUCAGAAAGCCACGGCUAACUACGUG